rnacentral:rRNA from 1 species
UACGUAGGGGGCAAGCGUUGUCCGGAUUUAUUGGGCGUAAAGAGCGUGUAGGCGGACAGAUAGGUCCGUUGUGAAAACUCGAGGCUCAACCUCGAGACGCCGAUGGAAACCAUCUGGCUAGAGUCCGGAAGAGGAGAGUGGAAUUCCUGGUGUAGCGGUGAAAUGCGCAGAUAUCAGGAAGAACACCCGUGGCUAAGGCGGCUCUCUAGUACGGUACUGACGCUGAGACGCGAAAGCGUGGGGAGCGAACAGG